rnacentral:rRNA from 1 species
AUGGCGAGGAUCCUGCUGCAUGGGACGCUGCACGUCACCGUGUUCGAGGGCGAGGGGAUCACCAACAACAGCAGGCCCAGCAGUCAGGCGCCGCAGUUCCUCCGCAAGCUGGUGGAGGGGAUCGAGGACACGGUGGGCGUCGGCAAAGGCGCGAGCAAGCUCUACGCCACCGUCGGCCUUGGCAAGGCCCGCAUCGGCCGCACUCGCACGCUGAACGACGAGUCGUCGACCCCGCGCUGGUUCGAGUCCUUCCACAUCUACUGCGCGCACCUCGCCACCGACGUGCUCUUCACCAUCAAGGGCAGCAGCACCAUCGGCGCCUCCGUCGUGGGCACGGGCUACCUCCCCGUCCGCGACAUCUACGGCGGCGACGAGGUCGAGCGCUGGCUCCCGCUCUGCGACGACAGCCGCAACCCCGUCGAGGGCGGCGGCAAGAUCCACGUCAAGCUCCAGUACUUCGACAUCUCCAAGGACCGGGCCUGGGGCCGCGGCAUCCGCUCCGGGAAGAACCCCGGCGUGCCCUACACCUUCUUCUCCCAGCGCCAGGGGUGCAAGGUGACGCUGUACCAGGACGCCCACAUCCCCGACGGCUUCAUCCCCAGGAUCCCGCUCGACGACGGCCGCUGCUACGAGCCGCACCGCUGCUGGGAGGACAUCUUCGCCGCCAUCAGCAAUGCCAAGCACCUCAUCUACAUCACGGGAUGGUCCGUGUACACGGAGAUCGCGCUGCUCAGGGACGCCAACCGGCCCAAGCCGGCCGGCGGCGGCGUCACGCUCGGCGAGCUGCUCAAGAAGAAGGCCGGCGAGGGCGUCAGGGUCCUCAUGCUGGUCUGGGACGACCGGACCUCGGUUGGGGUGCUCAAGAAGGACGGCCUCAUGGCGACGCACGACGAGGAGACGAUGAACUACUUCCAGGACACCGACGUGCACUGCGUGCUCUGCCCCCGGGACCCCGACGACUCCGGCAGCUUCGUCCAGGACCUGCAGAUCUCCACCAUGUUCACGCACCACCAGAAGACCGUCAUCGUGGACCACGACAUGCCCCAGAGCGGCGGCGGCCGGCGCCGGCGGAUCCUCAGCUUCGUGGGCGGGCUUGACCUCUGCGACGGUCGCUACGACACGCCGUUCCACCCCCUGUUCGGGACGCUGGACGGCCCCCACCACGACGACUUCCACCAGCCCAACUUCGCGACGGCGGCGAUCGCCAAGGGCGGGCCGAGGGAGCCGUGGCACGACAUCCACUGCCGCCUCGAGGGCCCCGUGGCGUGGGACGUGCUCUACAACUUCGAGCAGCGGUGGCGCAAGCAGGGCGGCAAGGACCUGCUCGUCCAGCUCAGGGACCUCGCCGACGACAUCAUCCCGCCGUCGCCGGUGAUGCACGCCGAGGACAGGGAGGCGUGGAACGUGCAGCUGUUCCGGUCCAUCGACGGCGGCGCCGCCUUCGGGUUCCCGGACAACCCCGAGGACGCGGCGAAGGCGGGCCUGGUGAGCGGCAAGGACCAGAUCAUCGACCGGAGCAUCCAGGACGCGUACAUCUGCGCCAUCCGGAGGGCCAAGAGCUUCAUCUACAUCGAGAACCAGUACUUCCUGGGGAGCUCCUACUGCUGGAAGCGCGACGGCAUCGACCCCGACGACGUCGGCGCGCUGCACCUCCUCCCCAAGGAGCUGUCCAUGAAGGUGGUGAGCAAGAUCGAGGCCGGGGAGCGGUUCACCGUGUACGUGGUGGUGCCCAUGUGGCCGGAGGGCAUCCCAGCGAGCGGGUCCGUGCAGGCCAUCCUGGACUGGCAGAGGAGGACCAUGGAGAUGAUGUACAGCGACAUCGCGCAGGCCAUCCAGGCCAAGGGGAUCGACGCCAAACCCAAGGACUACCUCACCUUCUUCUGCCUCGGCAACCGGGAGGCCAAGAAGUCCGGCGAGUACGAGCCGCCAGAGCAGGCCGAGCCCGACAGCGACUACCUCAAGGCGCAGCAGAACCGCCGGUUCAUGAUCUACGUCCACACCAAGAUGAUGAUCGUGGACGACGAGUACAUCAUCGUGGGGUCGGCGAACAUCAACCAGAGGUCCAUGGACGGGGCGCGCGACUCGGAGAUCGCCAUGGGCGGGUACCAGCCGGGCCACCUGGCGACGAGCCGGCCGGCGAGGGGGCAGGUGCACGGGUUCAGGAUGGCGCUGUGGUACGAGCACCUCGGCAUGAUGGACGAGGCGUUCCAGCGGCCGGAGAGCCUCGAGUGCGUGCACAAGGUGAACGCCAUGGCCGAAAGGUACUGGGACCUCUACGCGGCCGACGGCCCAGAGCGCGACCUCCCCGGCCACCUCCUCACCUACCCUGUCAGCGUCACCGGCGACGGCUCGGUGACGCAGCUGCCCGGGGUGGAGUUCUUCCCGGACACCGAGGCGCGGAUCCUCGGCGGCAAGUCCGACUACCUCCCGCCCAUCCUUACCACGUAG